UAUGUAAUCCCUCCGUCCGAAAAAGCUUGUCCCAAGCUUAUCUCUCAAAUAGAUGUAUCUAGCAUUAACUUGGUGCUAGAUAUAUUCAUUUAAGGGACAAACUUUUUCGGAUGGAGGGAGUAUAUA
rfam:Triticum aestivum genome assembly, contig: Triticum_aestivum_CS42_TGACv1_scaffold_178759_2DS